GCGAGUCAUUGUAGUAAUACAAGGCAUACGGCUCAGUAACGCGUAGUCAACCUACCCUAUGGACAAGAAUAAUCUCGGGAAACUGAGCAUAAUUCUUGAUAGAUCAUAAUGCCUGGAAUGGUUUAUGGUUAAAAUGAUUCGUCGCCAUAGGAUGGGACUGCGGCCUAUCAGCUUGUUGGUGAGGUAAUGGCCCACCAAGGCGAUAACAGGUACGGGCUCUGAGAGGAGAAGCCCGGAGAUGGGUACUGAGACAAGGACCCAGGCCCUAUGGGGCGCAGCAGGCGAGAAAACUUUGCAAUGUGCGAAAGCACGACAAGGUUAGUCCGAGUGAUUUCUGCUAAAGAGAUCUUUUGCUAGUUAUAAAACCACUAGUGAAUAAGGGGUGGGCAAGUUCUGGUGUCAGUCGCCGCGGUAAAACCAGCACCUCAAGUGGUCAGGAUGAUUAUUGGGCCUAAAGCAUCCGUAGCCGGCUCUGUAAGUUUUCGGUUAAAUCUAUGCGCUCAACGUAUGGGCUGCCGAAAAUACUGCAUAGAUAGGGAGUGGGAGAGGUAGACGGUACUC
rnacentral:rRNA from 1 species